AGGUCAUUUUGAGGGUGAUUCCUAAGUAGACCUUUAUAGUGCUCUUAUGCUUCAUACAUCGACUCCCCCAAUUGUUGUUUAAAAUUGGCAAUGACCUUUUUGAGCUU